AGAUAAAAAUUUAUGAUUUAAAAAAUUUAUUUUAAGUUUAAUUUACAUGUAAAUUUUUGUAUUAAUUUUAUUGUAUUUUAAAAAUAUAAUAAUUAAAUAAAUAGUAAUUAAAAUUAAAAAUUUAAGAAAUUAAGAUUUAGUAAUUCUAUAAAAAAUAACAAAUUUUGUGCCAGCAGUUGCGGUUAUACAAAAAUUUAAAUAAAUUUUAUUGACAAUAAUAAAUAAUUAAAAUUAAGUUAAAAUUAAAAUUAUUAAGUAAAAUUUUAAUUUUAAAAAAAAUUAUAAAAUAAUUAUGAAUUAAAAAAAUUUUAUUAUAAACUAGGAUUAGAUACCCUAUUAUAGAAAAAUUAAUUUAAAUAUGUUAAAAUAGUAAAUAAUUUUAUAUUGAAACUUAAAUAAUUUGGCGGUAUUUUAGUUCAUUUAGAGGAAUCUGUCUAGUAAUUGAUAAUCCACGAAUAAUUAUAUUUAAUUUAAAAUUUUAUAUAUCGUUGUUAAAAAAAUAUUUUUUAAAGAUAAUAAUAUUUAAAAAUUUAUAAUAAAAAUUAAUUCAGAUCAAGAUGUAGAUAAUAAUUAAAAUUAAGAUGGAUUACAAUAUAAAAAUAUAAAUGGAAUUUAAUUUUGGAAUAAUUGAAAGAAAGUGGAUUUAAAUGUAAUUUUAAAUAAUUUUUUAAAAUGAUUAAAAAUUGAAAUAUGUACAUAUUGCCCGUCACUUUCAUUUUAAAAUUGGAAUAAGUCGUAACAAAGUAGAGGUACUGGAAAGUGUUUCUAGAAAGA
rnacentral:ncRNA from 1 species